rnacentral:lncRNA from 1 species
UGAGGUGGGCUAGGGCAAUAAAAAUUGUUGAGUAGCAAGCUAGAAAUUUUCAAAACCACGGAAUAAAAGCAAUUUCAUACUCUACUUGAGAAAGUAAGAAGAGAAGAGAGAGCACCUGAUUGCCUCUUCAGGACAUGCCAUGGCACAUCUCCCUGCGAUUGGUCUUCUUGCCGAGGCAUCACUGAGUGGCAGCACUAUAGUGGGGAGGAAAAUGGCGAAUAGCAAGACCGGCAGAGUGUUGUUCUAUGAAUGGUAAACAAAAUUGGAGUAGCAAUUCUGAAAAUCACAAUAUAAUCACAUCACUUUGAACCAAUGGAAAACUAUUACAUCCUUUAGGUACUGUAUAGACCCAUAUCCAGUGCAUCUUAUUUUUUUAAUUCAUCAUUGGCAUUUGAGUAGCAAAAGGGGGCAAGUAUAAUUGGCAAAUGGCAAAAGAAAACACUCAUACCCGAUGGAGACAUCAUUUGCAAAAAAUAUGGACUACACUUACUAACAAAGACAUCAAGGGCUAGAAGGUGCAUCAGGUUUAACAUGGCAUUAAAAGAAACAAAGGUAANNNNNNNNNNACACAUAGUAGGCACCAAGACAUGCAUGGGCCAGUAACUGCUAGCGCGUGUAAAAAAAACAGACAACCCAACAACCGAUAGAGAGGCAAAGGAAGCAACAGUAAAAUGAUCGAACAGUGGUAAUUGAUAGCACACGUAGAUGGCAAAGAAAAAAAAUCGUGUCUCGUCCGUCAAGCCUUUCUCAAGGAUUGUUAAACAGAUUGGGAAUGUAGGAAACACAGCAUGAAGGUUUCUCAUUUAGACCCAAGAAUGAUUAAGAAAUAAUGGUCAUUGUAUUACUCGAUUGAGUUUACAAACAAAUAAGAAAUUGUUUGAUAUUUUGACAUAAGCAUCAGAAAUUCUGAGGUGGGCUAGGGGCUAGGGCAAUAAAAAUUGUUGAGUAGCAAGCUAGAAAUUUUCAAAACCACGGAAUAAAAGCAAUUUCAUACUCUACUUGAGAAAGUAAGAAGAGAAGAGAGAGCACCUGAUUGCCUCUUCAGGACAUGCCAUGGCGCAUCUCCCUGCGAUUGGUCUUCUUGCCGAGGCAUCACUGAGUGGCAACACUAUAGUGGGGAGGAAAAUGGCGAAUAGCAAGACCAGCAGAGUGUUGUUCUAUGAAUGGUAAACAAAAUUGGAGUAGCAAUUCUGAAAAUCACAAUAUAAUCACAUCACUUUGAACCAAUGGAAAACUAUUACAUCCUUUAGGUACUGUAUAGACCCAUAUCCAGUGCAUCUUAUUUUUUUAAUUCAUCAUUGGCAUUUGAGUAGCAAAAGGGGGCAAGUAUAAUUGGCAAAUGGCAAAAGAAAACACUCAUACCCGAUGGAGACAUCAUUUGCAAAAAAUAUGGACUACACUUACUAACAAAGACAUCAAGGGCUAGAAGGUGCAUCAGGUUUAACAUGGCAUUAAAAGAAACAAAGGUAAUAACUUCACUUCCAAGAAAAAAUAACAACUCCAAUUUACAAAGGAGAUAAUGCUAGUAAUGAUGAUGGUGCUACUGCAUCAGUAGAAGAGAGAGAAGUUCCCUAUUUUCCUUGC